UCAAAAAAUAACCCACUUUCAUACCAAAACACACUUAAACCAACAUAAAACUGUGUUUUUUCUGAGUUUUUCUUAGCGGAAGUUGGUUUUUGCUAAUAAAAGUGAGUUUUAUGUGCGCUAAACUGUGCUUAACUGAGUUUAAAGUUGGUUAUUUUAAGAAGAUGUGUGUUUAAGCGAGUUUUUUUCAGUAAGAAGUCGGUUUUUUGUGUGUCAAAAGUGAGCCUUUUUAUUUAUGAGUUGGUUUAUGUGUGUUUAAGUGUGUCUUUUUGUUUUAUAAGCGAGUCUUUUACAACAGAAGUUGGUCUUUUUUUAAACAGAAGUGGGUUUAAGCGAGUUUAACUUGGUCUUUUUGUAAAUAAGUUGAGAGCUGCAGCGAGGCUUAAAGACUCACUUUAACACACUUUUCAACAAGUUGGUCUUUUGUUUAUUAAUAUAACUCAUCAAUGAAACAAUAAUUCUUCAACUAGGUCUUUGUUUGAUGUUUAUAGCCAUAAAUAAAACAAGUCAAUUGUAAAGGGGCUUUUUUUACAGCUUGUUUGCCAUUGUCCCUAUUGUACAUUUGUGUGCUCCCCAUAAUUUUUAGGGAAUAUUGGAUGAAAAUGGCUCUUUCAGAACAUCACAGGUUCACAGAUGGACAACAAGUAUCACUGACAAAAACUAACAAUGGUCAAGCUUAGUUUUAUACAUGAAAAUGAAAGAGUUUGUGUUUCACUUUGAAUUUUUUCUUUAUGUUUGUUUUUAUUAUAAACAAUAUCUUAUGAUUGUUUUAUGUCUUAAUUUUUUAAUUUUUUUUAAACAAUCUCAUAUGAUUGUUUAUAUUUGUUUAAAACAGUAUUUACUUGUAAAAUCUGCAUAUUUAAAUAAUUAUGGUAUUGGAAACAUUAUUUUGGAAAUAAUCUAUUUAUUUUUGUACAUAAGUUAUGCAAGAUUUUGAUAUUUGCAUAUGAUACCAUCAUAUCCAUUUUCUUAAUUUGGAAUAAAAUAAUAAAAUGCCAAACAUUACCUGUGUUACAUAAACUGUCAACAAAAUAACAAGACAAUACCUUAAAACACCCUUAUUUCACACCACUAACAAUAAACAGAUAACAAUCUGUCAGGCAUUCAGAGCUAAACAGGGUACUGAUUAUCUAGGGGUAGAUAAGGCUACUGAUGGGGUCCUAGAGAUAAGGCUGUGUGGAAUAAGAUAUAAGGCUUUUGAUUGGCUAUUGCACUGAGGAAGUUAUCUUUUUGAAAACAACAACUUUUGAAAAACAAGCUGGUGUCAGCAACUGAAUAUUGAGCUAAAUUUAAUUCAGCAACAUUAAUAUAAAGAAGUGAAAGACUUAUAAUGGUAGUGUAAAAUGUCUUGAAAUUCUGUCAGCAUGAAGUAUUGUGUGAUGAAAACAAUGUGUUUUUUACUGCAAGUGGAAAUCAAUAAUAAGUUGGUUGGAAAGGAGGUUGAACUGCCUGUUGUUGUUUUUGGAAUACUGAAGAACAGUUUUAACAGGUUUGUAUUGUCAUUUCUUCACCCCUUUUUUUAUUUAGUUUAUUGAAUUAAUUAUGAUCAUUAUCAUAUUUAUGUAUUGUCACUGGGAAAUGUAAAUGGAUAAGUUAUUGUAUUGCAAUUUAAAGGAUAAACAACACAUUUUGAAGCAAAAAUAGAUAAACUUACACAUGAAAAAGUGUAAAUGUUGUGUACAGUGAAUAAUUAUGGUUGUGUUUCAUGGUUAUUGUCAUCUAAAAUUUUAUUUAUAUCUAUUUCUGGUUAUAACUGAACGGAUUUCUUUCCCUCUUACUUAAUUAGAACUUAUAUAUUUUAAUUUUGAAGGUUAAACUCUUGCCACAAGGCAAAAUUGACAUCGUUGGGAAGAUCCUUUGGAAAGAAUGUGCAUAUUCGCCUGCCUGAUGUAUGGACUUUUAAACCUGGUUUUUACCCUGCACAAGCUGGCAAACUUGAGGGGAACAAGAGUGGGAAAACCUCGCCCUGUCCUUGACCAAGAAAGCUCGAUUUGUUGAGAGAUCAACUGGCAUAAGAGAUGCUCAAGAGGAGAAGGACACAAGCAGCAUCAAUGGAACAACUACAUGUCGCUCCAGCGCCCGCUUUCCAGGUCUCUACCAGCUGCUUUCCAGGUCCCUCCACCCGCCAAGAUCAGGUCUAGGUCCCUGCACUGGCUGCUUUCCAGGUCCCCUAGCGGUCAAGGUCUCUCCAGUAGCUGCUGUGCAGGUCCCAACACCGUAUGCCGUCAAGGUCCCUCCUUAAGCUGAAAUCCAGGUUCCUCAUUCCACUGCGGUUCAGGUACCUCCAACAGCUGAGAUCCAGGUCUCUGCAGCAGCUGCGGUCUAAAUACUCCACCCGCAGUGGUCCAUUGCGGUCAAACUUUUGCUUUAAAAUCUUCCAUAAAUGUCUAUUAUUUUAUAAUGUAUUGUAAAAAUAAUCUGUUAGUAUUAAUUUGCGGUGUACUAUUUUUGUCAUAUAAACAUAAUUUUCGUA